CCGCUGGGCACGGGCGCGCCGGGAGGCUGCAGCGGGCGCCUGGCCGGGCCGGGGCACUUACUUGAAGUUAUUGCCAAGUUACCAGCAAAAUUACAAGAGGAGAAAAACAACUUCUCAGCAUCAGUAACCUUUUGACUGUUUCCCUGACCCUGUAAUCCUCAGGAGACAUCACUCCUAUAGAAAAAUGAAAAGCACAAAUGGUAGUUAGGUGCCUAAUUCUUACUGCAAGUCAACGAGAGGUAGGCUUCUCACUGCAUUUUGUGCUUUUGCAAACAUGCCCCUUCCGUGUUUGUCCAAGAACAAAUUUAAUUGCUAUAGAGCUCUGAAGUCAGACUUUGGACUGCUAAGGACAUUCUGUCAAAAGCACAGUAAAAAACACAUGGUUGAGGUAAAGCGUGUCCACAUCUGAUCAACAUCUAAUGGAUGGUUGGAACUCUCUGUUUGGAGAACAUCAGCAAUUAGAGUCUCAAGAAGAAUCUGAUUUUUUGAGACAAAAGGAGACUUUUUUUUUCAGCUGGAGACUGAAUCUGGAUCUUUUUAACUUUCCUUGAUAUUUAAGCUUCACAGCAGGCUAUACUUUCCCCAACACAAGCAUCCACUUGUAAAUGUGUCCCUUGAAUUAAGGAGGGAGGCAAAAACCCUGAUCAUAUCUACUUGGACUUAGUCGGUUUUGUUGUGCAGGCAUCUUCGACCUGGAACUUGGUAACAGUUCUCUCUUCAGAAGUUGUUUUGAAUUACACAGAAGAUCUUGCAUCAUCCAUAGCUGCUAUUGAACUGAAGCCUAGAGAGAUGGUGUACAUUUAUUCUCUGGUUAUCAAGGAAGCACAAUGUUAUCACAGUAAAAUAUAUCACUCAAUCAACUAUCAAUGAUGCAAGUUUCAAAAAAUAUAUCUAUUUGUAUGUCAUAACAAUAUUAAUGAACAAAUCAGCACCAAAUGCAGUCUGGUCUUUCUACCAUACACUUCUUAAUGUAAUAAAGUUAUUCACAUCUGUGUGAUAACAGUUGGAGUAAAUUUUAGUGAAAAUACUAAGACUUACAGUGCAGAAUAUGCUAUAUAAAAUCAUUGUAAUAUGAGUAAGGUAAAUCUUUCCAUAAAAGCUACUGAGCAAG